UACGAAGGGGGCUAGCGUUGCUCGGAAUUACUGGGCGUAAAGGGUGCGUAGGCGGGUCUUUAAGUCAGAGGUGAAAUCCUGGAGCUCAACUCCAGAACUGCCUUUGAUACUGAGGAUCUUGAGUUCGGGAGAGGUGAGUGGAACUGCGAGUGUAGAGGUGAAAUUCGUAGAUAUUCGCAAGAACACCAGUGGCGAAGGCGGCUCACUGGCCCGAUACUGACGCUCAUGUGCGAAAGCGUGGGGAGCAAACAGG
rnacentral:rRNA from 1 species